AGUAAAAUGGCCGAGUAUAGGCGAUAAAUUGUAAAUUUAUUCACGAAAUUUUUUUUCUUUUACUA
rnacentral:tRNA from 1 species